AUUGAACGCUGGCGGCAGGCCUAACACAUGCAAGUCGAGCGAGCGGCGGACGGGUGAGUAAUGUAUGGGGACUGCCCGAUAGAGGGGGCUAACUACUGGAAACGGUGGCUAAUACCGCAUACUAUCGGAUAACCCAUAUGGGAUUAGCUAGUAGGUGGGGUAAAGGCUCACCUAGGCGACGAUCUCUAGCUGGUAUGAGCAGAUGAUCAGCCACACGUGGACUGAGACACGGCCCAGAAUCCUACGGAGGAAGCAGGGGGGAAUAGGGCAGAAUGGGAGCAAGCCUGAUGGAGCAAUGCCGCGUGUAUGAAGAAGGCCUUAGGGUUGGAAAGUACUUUCAGCGGGGAGGCGUUACCCGCAGAAGAAGCACCGGCAAACUCCGUGCCAGCAGCCGCGGUAAUAC
rnacentral:rRNA from 1 species